rnacentral:rRNA from 1 species
UGAGGAAUAUUGGUCAAUGGACGCAAGUCUGAACCAGCCAAGUAGCGUGCAGGAUGACGGCCCUAUGGGUUGUAAACUGCUUUUAUAUGGGAAUAAAGUGAGGGACGUGUCCCUUAUUGCAUGUACCAUACGAAUAAGGACCGGCUAAUUCCGUGCCAGCAGCCGCGGUAAUACGGAAGGUCCAGGCGUUAUCCGGAUUUAUUGGGUUUAAAGGGAGCGUAGGCUGUUUGUUAAGCGUGUUGUGAAAUGUAAGAGCUCAACUUUUAGAUUGCAGCGCGAACUGGCAGACUUGAGUGCGCACAACGUAGGCGGAAUUCAUGGUGUAGCGGUGAAAUGCUUAAAUAUCAUGACGAACUCCGAUUGCGAAGGCAGCUUACGGGAGCGCAACUGACGCUAAAGCUCGAAGGUGCGGGUAUCGAACGGG